rnacentral:ncRNA from 1 species
CGUUGUCUUCGACAACACCCGAUGCUGCCAUGACCUGUAAGGUAGCACUGUACAGUGGUCAAACCCCAGUUGCCUGGACCUGAAAUGCAACACUUUUAGAGUGGUAAC